UUUUUCCUCCACUUAGCUCUCAUGAUGCAGAGGUUUCCAAGAAAAUGGCGCUAAGGCUGAGAGAAACCCUAGCCCAUUUCUAUUGUCAGUUUUUAUUGAAUUCCACCUUGGACGCUCUUCUAGGUUCUUGGGUUACACCAGUAAACAAAAAGAUUUCUGCUCUUGAGGAGCUUAUAUUCUAUCAGAGGAACACAGACAAUAAAUAUCAGUAAGCUUUCCAGUAUGUUAGAAUGUGAUAAGUGGUGUGGAAAAAAGAAAAGUGGAUCAGAGUAAGGGGAGUUGAGAAAGCAGGUAGAGGUGGGAGCAUGUGAAGGUGAGAGGUUAUAGUAUUAAGUAGAUCUCAAUAAGAAAGUGAUUUUUAAACAAGUAUUUGAAGGAGUUGCAGGAAUUCAUCAAGUGGAUAUAUAGGAAAAGAAUUUCUAGGCAGUGGGGACAGCUUAGAGCGAAGGCCCUAAGGCAGGGGCAUGAGUGAAUAAGCGCAGAGGUCAGUGUUGGGGGAGAGUAAGGUGAAAACUAUUAGUAGAUGGGGUCAGAGAUGUAGUGGGGAUGGAAGCAGAAGGCUAUUUUCAGGACCUUGUUUCUCUGAAAUGGGGAGCCAGUGCUGGAUUUUGCAUAAAACAGAGACAUACUCUAAUUUAUAUUAAAGGAUGACUUUGGUUGUUUGUUAAAAGGAGACAAACUCCAGGGGAGUGAGGAUAAAAGCAGGAAGAUCUGUUAGGACAAUAUUAGCAAAUCACAUGAAAGAUGAUAGUGGCUUGGGCGAAGGUGGUAGCAAUGGAAGUGGUCAGAAAUGGUCGGAUUCUGGAAAUGUAUUCAACAGCAGGAAAUUAAGAUCUUCAAAAUCUCUUGAUUAGCUGGGCACAGUGGCUCAACCCUGUUAUCCCAGCUAUUCAGGAGGCUGAGGCUAGAGGAUUGCAUGAGGCCAGGAGUUCAAGACCAGCCUGGGUAACAUAGUGAGACUCCAUCUCUACAUAAAUAAAUAAAUAAGCUCUUGAUUUUAUGUAAGAAGGUCAGACUGCUGUAAGACUUUCACAUCCUGAUGGAAGUCUCACUUUCCAGCCUCAUCUCAGACCAUUCUCUGCUCUACACUCGCCUCCCCACUCCCAUAUCUGUCUUUUCCAAGAGCCCUGUUAGAUAAUCCUUCUUGGGUGGCCUACUAGUUAAGACUGUGGCUCUGGAAUUAAACCAUCUGGGUUUGAUUUCUGGCUCAUUUCAUUUAACUACGAUGUGGUCUUAAGAUACUUAGUUUCUCUAAGCUCAGUUUUCUCAUUUAUAAAAUGGGAAUCUUAAUAAUAGCACCUAACUCACAGAGCAGUAAUGUGAGAUUAAAUGAGCUAAUCUAUGUAGAAUACUUAACAUCAUGCUUGGCAUCUACUAAGAUCUCCGUAAAUAUUGGUUACUAUUUUUUUAAAAUCUCAGAUUAUGUUUCUUUGACCACAAUCUUUAUCCUCUGCAUUAAAUGCUAACCCUCUUCUUCUAUAUCCUCUUUCACUAGUUUUCUACUUUUUGUUUCUCAAAUUCAUAUAAAAAAUUCUUGAGGACAUUGGCUUUUAAUUAUUAUUAUUUGAGACAGGGUCUCACUCUGUCGCAUAGGCUGGAGUACAGUGGUGCCGUGCAAUCACAGUUCACCUCAGCCUCCACUUCUCAGGCUCAAAUGAUCCUCAUACCUCAGCCUCCUGAAUAGUUGAGACUACAGGUGUGUACCACCAUGCCUGGCUUUUUUUUUUUUUUUUUUUUUUUUGAGAUGAGGUCUUGCUCUCUCGCCAGGCUGGAG
rnacentral:lncRNA from 10 species